AGGUUUUCGAAUGGCAGCUGAAUGUGCCCGUAAAGCCCUGCUGGAGAAAGUCGUGGAUAAUAAGACCGAUUCUGAGAAAUUCAAAUCAGACUUGAUGAAGAUUGCAAGGACUACUUUGAGUUCCAAAAUUCUCUCACAGGACAAAGAACAUUUUGCUAAACUUGCUGUGGAUGCUGUACUACGACUUAAGGGAAGCACUAACUUAGAGGCUAUUC